UGGGGAAUAUUGCACAAUGGAGGGAACUCUGAUGCAGCGACGCCGCGUGAGUGAUGAAGGAAUUCGUUUCGUAAAACUCUGUUCUAUGGGAAGAAAAGGACUGUACCAUAGGAGAAAGCUCCGGCUAAAUACGUGCCAGCAGCCGCUGUAAUACGUAUGGAGCGAGCGUUGUCCGGAAUUAUUGGGCGUAAAGGGUGCGCAGGCGGCUUUACAAGUUGGAUGUGAAAUAUUGUGGCUCAACCACAAACGUGCAUCCAAAACUGCAAAGCUUGAGUUAAGGAGAGGUAAGUGGAAUUCCUGGUGUAGCGGUGGAAUGCGUAGAUAUCAGGAGGAAUACCGGUGGCGAAGGCGACUUACUGGACUUAAACUGACGCUCAGGCACGAAAGCGUGGGGAGCAAACAGG
rnacentral:rRNA from 1 species